UAAUUCAAUACAAACUCCUUUUCCACAAGUGUUGGCCCGUUAGAGACGCCAUCUAGUAGGGCUAUGUUCUUCUUUUGAAUAAUACUAAAGUUUAUAUAUAUUUAUUUAUUCCCGCCCUUUUGUUUUUCAAAUCUGUAACGGUCAAAGCGCUUCAUCAUUUAGUUUCUGGAGUUCAGUGAUCCAACUACAGACUGUCAACACACUCUCAACAGGAAUAUUAUUUCAUUCUUAAAUUUAAAUACAAAAUUAACUUUAAAAUUGUAUCUGGUUUUCUAACAAACAUGUUCUUUUCUCGUUUUUUUUGAUCAGAUGUAGUCUAAGUGUGAGAAGCUCUGGCUGAGGAGACUCCUCUUCUCCACUAAAUGCUACACUCUAAAAAAAGAUGGCUCAUUAGGCCUACUGAUUUUCUGGAGUUCAGCUAUCAAACUACACAGACUGUCAACACACUCUCAGCAGUUUAAGAGAACAUAUGCUGUCACAUCCUACAACCUCAUCAUCUGCAGAGAGAAACGGCCACUCAGUCUCACCAAAAUACAUGAUAAUGGACUCUCAGGCAUCAUAGAGGAUGACGAAAAUACAGUAUUUCACUGGAACUUGUUCUUCAUUUCACUAUUUCCAGUUUCUAUUGUGUUUUACUUCUUUAAGUAUUUAUUUAUGUUCAGUGUCAGUUGUCAUUUAUUGUUGUAUUCUGCUAAUAACUGUUGUUAGGGCACUGUCAUUUUUGGUACAAAUUCACAUGUCAUGUCAUUAAUGACACGUUGUUGUUGUUUUUAUGUAAAACCCUAAUAGACACUGUAGGAUAUUGUAAUACUAGGCAGAUAGAGUAGUAAAAAACAAUAUUAAUAAAUAAUACACACA